CUUAUCGCAGCGCCCAGGCGCGACCGAGCCCCUGCAGUUUCCCCAGGAGCAAAAAGGGGCUCGAAAAUACAACACAAAUGAAUCGUCCUAAUUUUACUGAGGGAAAGACGCCAGACCAAAAAUUUUAAAAGAGAUUCCAAUAAAGAAUACAGUGCUGCUGCCAAAACUAACCAGGAGAAUUCCGGAGGGGCCAAAAGGAGGGAGGAAAUGCCAGUCCAUCAUAUGUCCUACCAACCUCCCAGGCUCCUUUGCACUGAAGUCCCUCUUGGCUGAGAGAUUCGAACCACCAGGAAGGACCCUGAGUCAGACCAAACACGGGCCAAGCAAGAUGACUGGCCAGAGACAACUCAGAAACUAACCCCAUCACCAUAAAAACGUGAGACUUCAAGCCAUGUGGUAGAGCAGUUCUCCUGGGUUUCUUAUCCUGCUGCUCUCUGCCUGGGCGCGCCUUGUCAAUAAAGUCUUCUGCUUUGUCAGCA